GAGUUUGAUCAUGGCUCAGAUUGAACGCUGGCGGCAUGCCUUACUCAUGCAAGUCGAACGGCAGCAUGAUCUAGCUUGCUAGAUUGAUGGCGAGUGGCGAACGGGUGAGGUAAUACAUCGGAAACGUGCCCUGUAGUGGGGGAUAACUAGUCGAAAGAUUAGCUAAUACCGCAUACGACCUGAGGGUGAAAGUGGGGGACCGCAAGGCCUCAGUGCUAUAGGAGCGGCCGAUGUCUGAUUAGCUAGUUGGUGGGGUAAAGGCCCACCAAGGCGACGAUCAGUAGCUGGUCUGAGAGGACGAUCAGCCACACUGGGGACUGAGACACGGCCCAGACUCCUACGGGAGGCAGGCAGUGGGGAAUUUUGGACAAUGGGCGAAAGCCUGAUCCAGCAAUGCCGCGUGUGUG
rnacentral:rRNA from 1 species